GGAGCACUGUCACCAAAGCAACUCGACUCAACACUGUUGCCUUGGUGAUUUCCAUGGUGAUUGCUGAAGUCACAAAGCCUGCAUUUGGAGGAGGCAGUUAGGAUCCCCGGUCCCCUUUCUCUGUGGGCUGAGGUGUAUUAUUAGCUGCCUGGCACACUGCCUGUCCUUCUUCCUCCUGUUGUGUCCAACCCAGCCACAUAACACACUGUAUCUACCGGAGAGGAUUUUAGCUUUACAGAGCUGUAACUGAGGAUCACUGGCUGAUAAGGACAGUGUGGUGGACUGUCGGCUCUCAGACCUUCGUGAGGAGGACACUGUAAAAGGACAAGCAGGGACAGGAGAGACUGAAGGACGUGCUGAGGAACAAUCACACCGUCAGAGGACACAAUUUCACAUCCCAGGGUGUUGGCCUACACUGAGAAGACAGGUGAGGAGAAGGGUCGUGUGAGAGGUCUGGUUGUCAAACAGACUAAGAUCCUGGGGAAGGCAUCCUACAAGCAGAUGGGUCAGUAUGUCCAAACACAAUAUUAAAAGUAUACUCCAUAUGGAUGUUGAAUAGAAUACCCUUAUGAAACCAGAUUGACCACUGUGCUAACACUGGUUCCACUUCACUUCACCGUAAACGGGUCAGAGUCAGGCAGGUACAGAACGGCAGGCAGGCUCAGGUUCAGGGCAGGCAAAAUGGUCAGAAUCGGGGAAACUAGGAAACAAUUCUUGAGCAAGCAGGGAGAUGGGAAAACACGCUGGUAAGACCUGACAAGACAAGAACUGGCAACAGACAAACAGAGAACACAGGUAUAAAUACACUGGGGAUAAUGAGUAAGAUCGGCGACACCUGGAGGGGGGUUGAGACAAGCACAAAGGGUGUGACUCAGCCUACCAACACCUGACCCAAACCGCCUCCACACUCGUCUUCUUUCUCCCAUCUUCACCUCCUUCUGGUCCCCCAGCUUACUCCCCCACCACUGGCCCUGCCUCCUACUCCUCUCGGCCAAUCAGCCACCGGCUGCACACCCACAUCCAGGUCCACCGCAGCUACUCCGAGUUAGCCGACUCUGCCCACCAGAGGCUCCCACCUCAGGUCCUCCAGGACCCUAUCCUGCAUGUUCCUCACCCUUGUAUGUUUUCAUUUCCUUUUACCAUACAUUCAGCAUGCCAGCCUGCCUGCAUUUUUGAUUGAUGACUCCCAUGUCCUUGGAGAUGUAACGAACUUGUAAAGACUGUAAAAUAAUGAUGGGCUUUGAAAAUUGUUCCUGUUAUGACUCUGCACGUGAUAAGCUAUAGACCUAGUGUAAUUGAUGUACAGAUACAAUUUGAGUUAUAAAAGCCAAUUAUUGUUAUUAUAUGCCUUAUUCUUAUCAUGUUAUGUAAUUCCGGAUACAUUUUGAUGACAUUAUCCCUCAGAUUAAUAUUGUAUAUAAUGUUAUGGCUCUACGAUGGUGAUAACUUGCACUUUUUUACAGGUUUGAAUGACACAAUGUAUUCCACUAACCUCAUUCUUUCAAUAAAGUUAUUGUUUUAUUAAUAUUAUAUUAUUUGUUUUUCACAAAAAUGCUGGUUUAAAACCAUCCUAAUUUGGGCAAAUAUUGGAUAGAACACACGUUGGGUUAUUUUUACUCAGCCAGUUGGGUCC
ensembl:lncRNA